UUCGCAAUGCCCGAAAGGGUGACGGAGCGACGCCGCGUGGGUGAGGAAGGCCUUCGGGUUGUAAAGCCCUGUCAGGAGUUAAGAAAUAUAAGUGCGCUAAUAUCGCAUUUAUUUGACGAAGGCUCCAAAGGAAGCCACGGCUAACUCUGUGCCAGCAGCCGCGGUAAUACAGAGGUGGCAAGCGUUGUUCGGAAUUAUUGGGCGUAAAGAGCACGUAGGUGGGUUUGUAAGUCAGAUGUGAAAGCCUUCUGUUCAACGGAAGAAUUGCAUCUGAGACUACAAGUCUUGAGUGUAGGAGGGGAGAAUGGAACUUCUGGUGGAGCGGUGAAAUGCGUAGAUAUCAGAAGGAACGCCGGCGGCGAAAGCGAUUCUCUGGCCUAUUACUGACGCUCAGUGUGCGAAAGCUAGGGGAGCAAACGGGAUUAGAUACCCCGGUAGUCCUAGCUGUAAACGAUGGGCACUAAGUAGAGGGGUUUU
rnacentral:rRNA from 1 species